rnacentral:lncRNA from 1 species
GUCUCCUCAUGCUGGGAGAGGGCUUAGUUCUGCCCUCCCUGAGACUCUGCUCCUCCCUGGAAACGGGCUUGGGAGCCCUCAUAGAAGGACUGCCCCGUGGGAUCCAGCGCACACCUGGUGCUCUGGAGAUGCGCCGAAUUAGGGCAGUGAAGGAAUUGGGGUUCGGGUCUCGGGUGCUGAGCUUAUGGUGCAAAGAGCACUGGAUUGGGAGUCUGGAGUCCUGUGUUCUCCGAGCUCUGCUGCUCACAGACUGUGCAACUUUGGACGAGUCCUUCCCUCGGUGGCCUGCAUCCCCGCGCCCUGCUCUCACCCACUGUGCUUCCUCUCCUCCAGGAGGGUGGACGUGCUCCUCAUGACUCCCUGGUUUGCUCCCAUCAUCUGGGACGGGACCUAUGACUCUGCCAUCCUGGACGCACAAUUCAAAAACACCACCAUCGGGGUGGUGGUGUUUGCUAUCAAAAAAUAUGUGGUCUUCCUGAAGCUGUUCCUGGAGACGGCAGAGAAGUACUUCAUGGUGGGUCACAGGGUCAUCUACUACAUCUUAACCGACCGGCCGGCGGACGUGCCCCAGAUCCCCCUCCAGGAAGGAAGGCGAGUGGUGAUCCUCAAGGUCCGAAACUACACGCGCUGGCAGGACGUGAGCUUGCACCGCAUGGAGAUGAUCAGCAACUUCUCCCAGCAGCGCUUCCUCCAUGAGGUCGAUUACCUUGUGUCCGCGGACGUCGACAUGAAGUUCAGCGACCACGUGGGUGUGGAGAUCCUGUCGUCUCUCUUUGGCACCCUCCAUCCCGGUUUCUAUGCCAGCGAUCGCCAGCGUUUCACCUAUGAACGCCGCCCAUUGUCUCAGGCCUACAUUCCGGAAGAUGAGGGUGAUUUUUACUAUGCAGGAGGCUUUUUUGGGGGGUCAGUGGCAGAGGUUUACCGGCUCACCAUGGCCUGUCACCAGGCAAUGGUGGUCGACAAGGCCAAUGGCAUCGAGGCCGUGUGGCACGACGAGAGCCACCUGAACAAGUACCUGCUCUACCACAAGCCCACCAAGGUGCUGUCCCCAGAGUACGUGUGGGAUGAGCGGAUGCUGCGGAAACCGCCUUACCUUAGGAGACUGCGAUACGUGGCUGUCCCCAAGAAUCAUGCACAAAUUCGGAGCAGAUGAGACCAGACUUUCCAGGAGACCCCACAUAUAAGGCUGUGGUAUGCAUCAGUGUUUCUACUUUUUGGAUAAGGGAUUGGCCAAAGAUUCAAUGAGUCGUCCCUCGGUUUCCUCUUCUGGAGUGGCUUCCACCACUCAUCACACGAACCCAGCUCUGACUUUUCCUCCCCUCCCAGUCCAGCUUUCUGUCUCAGUGCUGCUCCUCCUUCAAGGUCCUGACAAAGUCACCUUCCCCGUGAAGUUUUCUUGGAUUGUCUCCUCCUCCUGCAGUUGAAGUGAAUUGCCCCUCCCCCUGCAUUUCCAUAGAACACUGGAUGUAUUCCUUUGGCUAUAUGAGCCCUCAUGCCCAAAUUCCCCAUUGGUCUUGCCCAUCAUGAUGCUAGCUCCUGAGGCAGAGGCUAAGAUUUCUUCAUCUUUAUAUCCAUCAGUACCUAGCUGAGUGCCUUAUGCCUGGAACUCAAAAUAUGUUCAAUCUAAAUUAAAGUGACCUUUAAAAACCUACUCUACCGGUGCCGGCCCCGUGGCCGAGUGGUUAAGUUCGAGCAUCUGCUUGGCAGCCCAGGGUUUUGUCGGUUGGAAUCCGGGCGCAGACAUGGCCCACUCAUCAAGCCACGCUGAGGUGCGUCCCACAUGCCACAGCUAGAAGGACCCACAACUAAAAUUAUACAACUAUGUACGGGGGCUUUGGGGAGAAAAAGGAAAAAUAAAAGCUUAAAAAAAAAAGGAAAGGCUAUUCUA